CCAGCUUUAGGGGCUGUUUACAUGAACCCUACAGGAAGGGCUGGCCCUACUAGGCGAGAUCCCGCGUGCUAUUUGAAAUCCUUAUUAAAAAUUGUUUACGUUUACAUGAGAAGAGGGCCAGCCCUCCUAGGCGAGAUCUCACUAUUAUUCACCCGAGAUCUCGCCUAGUAGGGCUAGAAUUUUCUCAUAUAAACGCAGUAGAGAGGGCUGGCCCUCCUAGUAGGGCUGAGUGAAAAAGCCGUCGAAUCGAUUUUAGACUAAACUCUUUGAAGCUUUUUUUGUUUUAAGGAUGUAGUUGUAAACGGAUAUUCAAAUGUCUGUUGGCUUUUAUUCCAAAAUUUAGUCGGCAAAC